rnacentral:lncRNA from 10 species
CCAAUUGCCCUCGGCCCACAGGUCUGACACAGCUGAUCGCCCUCCAAUCGCCCUCAGCCCACAGGCCUGACACAGCCCAUCAUGCUCCACCCACAGACCUGACACAGCCAAUGGCCCUGCACCCACAGGCCUGACACGGCCGAUGGCCCUCUGCCCACAGGCCCCGAAACGCCGCACCCACGUGGCUUCCUCUUGCUUCACAAACAGUUCCUUUUCCAUCGCCUGUGCUGGGUUUUCCUUUCCUAAGUUUCACCCUAACAUUAGUGUGCCCGGGGUCAAAUCCUUAAGAUAUUUGUUUGUUAC